GAUGAACGCUGGCGGCGUGCCUAAUACAUGCAAGUCGAGCGAACGGACGAGAAGCUUGCUUCUCUGAUGUUAGCGGCGGACGGGUGAGUAACACGUGGAUAACCUACCUAUAAGACUGGGAUAAUUUCGGGAAACCGGAGCUAAUACCGGAUGAUAUUUUGAACCGCAUGGUUCAAAAGUGAAAGACGGUCUUGCUGUCACUUAUAGAUGGAUCCGCGCUGCAUUAGCUAGUUGGUAAGGUAACGGCUUACCAAGGCAACGAUGCAUAGCCGACCUGAGAGGGUGAUCGGCCACACUGGAACUGAGACACGGUCCAGACUCCUACGGGAGGCAGCAGUAGGGAAUCUUCCGCAAUGGGCGAAAGCCUGACGGAGCAACGCCGCGUGAGUGAUGAAGGUCUUCGGAUCGUAAAACUCUGUUAUUAGGGAAGGACAUAUGUGUAAGUAACUGUGCACAUCUUGACGGUACCUAAUCAGAAAGCCACGGCUAACUACGUG
rnacentral:rRNA from 1 species